AGCUGAAUGCUCUAAGAAGUGCAAUAAUGUAAGAAUUUCACCAUUUUAUAAGUGUGAGUUUAACCUGCCAUAAGGACUGUACUAAGAUCAAAAGUGAAAUAAUGAAUGAAUCACAGAAUCACAGAAUCACAGAACUGUAGCGGUUGGAAGGGACCUCAAAAGAUCAUUGGGUUCAACCCCCCUGCCAAAGCAGGUUCCUUAGAGCAGGCUGCCCAGGAAAGAUGCUCCAGGCCCCAUAUCAUCUUUGUGGCCCUCCGCUGGACUGUUUCCAUGAG